rnacentral:rRNA from 1 species
AGAGUUGACCCUGGCUAGGAUGAACGCUGGCGGCGUGCCUAACACAUGCAAGUCGAGCGAUCUCUCGGAAGAGAGCGGCGGACGGGUGAGUAACGCGUGGGUAACCUGCCCUGUACACACGGAUAACAUACCGAAAGGUAUGCUAAUACGAGAUAAUAUGCUUUUAUCGCAUGGUAGAAGUACCAAAGCUCCGGCGGUACAGGAUGGACCCGCGUCUGAUUAGCUAGUUGGUGAGGUAACGGCUCACCAAGGCGACGAUCAGUAGCCGACCUGAGAGGGUGAUCGGCCACAUUGGAACUGAGACACGGUCCAAACUCCUACGGGAGGCAGCAGUGGGGAAUAUUGCACAAUGGGCGAAAGCCUGAAUGCAGCAACGCCGCGUGAGCGAUGAAGGCCUUCGGGUCGUAAAGCUCUGUCCUCAAGGAAGAUAAUGACGGUACUUGAGGAGGAAGCCCCGGCUAACUACGUGCCAGCCGCCGC